GGGGCAUUAGCGCAGCUGGGAGCGCGUAUCGCUGGCAGCGAUGAGGUCGCGGGUUCGAGCCCCGUAUGCUCCACCA
rnacentral:tRNA from 1 species